rfam:Chelonia mydas contig194614, whole genome shotgun sequence.
ACAAAGGCUCUUUUAAGAACCACCAUUCUAGUGUAAAAAAAUUCUG